rnacentral:rRNA from 1 species
CGUAGGUGGCAAGCGAUACUCGGAAUCACUAGGCGUAAAGCGCAGGUAGGCGGUUUGGUAAGUCUUUUGUGAAAGCUCCCGGCUUAACUGGGAGAGGUCAAGGGAAACUACCGGACUAGAGUGUGGUAGGGGAUACUGGAAUUCCUGGUGUAGCGGUGAAAUGCGUAGAUAUCAGGAGGAAUACCUAUGGCGAAAGCAGGUAUCUGGGCCAUCACUGACGCUGAGCUGCGAAAGCUAGGGGAGCAAACAGGAUUAGAUACCCUGGUAGUCCUAGCCCUAAACGAUGCUCAUUAGAUGUGGGAGGUAUCGACCCCUUCCGCGUCGCAGCUAACGCAUUAAAUGAGCCGCCUGGGGAGUACGGCCGCAAGAUUG